GCCUGGGUGGCUCGGUUGGUUAAGCAUCUGACUUUGGCUCAGGUCGUGAUCUCACAGCUUGUGGGUUUGAGCCCCACGUCGGGCU
rnacentral:tRNA from 1 species